rnacentral:rRNA from 1 species
AGUGAACGCUGGCGGUAGGCCUAACACAUGCAAGUCGAACGGCAGCACAGUAAGAGCUUGCUCUUACGGGUGGCGAGUGGCGGACGGGUGAGGAAUACAUCGGAAUCUACUUUUUCGUGGGGGAUAACGUAGGGAAACUUACGCUAAUACCGCAUACGACCUACGGGUGAAAGCAGGGGAUCUUCGGACCUUGCGCGAUUGAAUGAGCCGAUGUCGGAUUAGCUAGUUGGCGGGGUAAAGGCCCACCAAGGCGACGAUCCGUAGCUGGUCUGAGAGGAUGAUCAGCCACACUGGAACCGAGACACGGUCCAGACUCCUACGGGAGGCAGCAGUGGGGAAUAUUGGACAAUGGGCGCAAGCCUGAUCCUGCCAUACCGCGUGGGUGAAGAAGGCCUUCGGGUUGUAAAGCCCUUUUGUUGGGAAAGAAAAGCAGCAGGUUAAUACCCCGCUGUUCUGACGGUACCCAAAGAAUAAGCACCGGCUAACUUCGUG